rnacentral:rRNA from 1 species
GUUCUCAGUUCGGACUGCAGUCUGCAACUCGACUGCACGAAGCUGGAAUCGCUAGUAAUCGCGGAUCAGCACGCCGCGGUGAAUACGUUCCCGGGCCUUGUACACACCGCCCGUCACACCAUGGAAGUCUGCAAUGCCCGAAGCCGGUGGCCUAACCACUUAUGUGGAAGGAGCCGUCUAAGGCAGGGCAGAUGACUGGGGUGAAGUCGUAACAAGGUAGC